rnacentral:rRNA from 1 species
GGGUUGUGAGGUUAAGCGACUAAGCGUACACGGUGGAUGCCCUGGCAGUCAGAGGCGAUGAAGGGCGUGCUAAUCUGCGAUAAGCGUCGGCGAGGUGAUAUGAACCUUUGACCCGGCGAUACCCGAAUGGGGAAACCCAGUGUGUUCCGACACACUAUCAUGUCAUGAAUACAUAGUGGCAUGAGGCGAACCGGGGGAACUGAAACAUCUAAGUACCCCGAGGAAAAGAAAUCAACCGAGAUUCCCCCAGUAGCGGCGAGCGAACGGGGAGGAGCCCAGAGUCUGAAUCAGCGCGUGUGUUAGUGGAAGCGUCUGGAAAGUCGCACGAUACAGGGUGAAAGUCCCGUACACAAAAAUGCACACGUUGUGAACUCGAAGAGUAGGGCGGGACACGUGGUAUCCUGUCUGAAUAUGGGGGGACCAUCCUCCAAGGCUAAAUACUCCUGACUGACCGAUAGUGAACCAGUACCGUGAGGGAAAGGCGAAAAGAACCCCGGCGAGGGGAGUGAAAAAGAACCUGAAACCGUGUACGUACAAGCAGUGGGAGCCUCUUUAUGGGGUGACUGCGUACCUUUUGUAUAAUGGGUCAGCGACUUAUAUUCUGUAGCAAGGUUAACCGUAUAGGGGAGCCGAAGGGAAACCGAGUCUUAACUGGGCGUUAAGUUGCAGGGUAUAGACCCGAAACCCGGUGAUCUAGCCAUGGGCAGGUUGAAGGUUGGGUAACACUAACUGGAGGACCGAACCGACUAAUGUUGAAAAAUUAGCGGAUGACUUGUGGCUGGGGGUGAAAGGCCAAUCAAACCGGGAGAUAGCUGGUUCUCCCCGAAAGCUAUUUAGGUAGCGCCUCGUGAACUCAUCUUCGGGGGUAGAGCACUGUUUCGGCUAGGGGGCCAUCCCGGCUUACCAACCCGAUGCAAACUACGAAUACCGAAGAAUGUUAUCACGGGAGACACACGGCGGGUGCUAACGUCCGUCGUGAAGAGGGAAACAACCCAGACCGCCAGCUAAGGUCCCAAAGUCAUGGUUAAGUGGGAAACGAUGUGGGAAGGCACAGACAGCCAGGAUGUUGGCUUAGAAGCAGCCAUCAUUUAAAGAAAGCGUAAUAGCUCACUGGUCGAGUCGGCCUGCGCGGAAGAUGUAACGGGGCUAAACCAUGCACCGAAGCUGCGGCAGCGACGCUUAUGCGUUGUUGGGUAGGGGAGCGUUCUGUAAGCCGUUGAAGGUG